rnacentral:rRNA from 1 species
GAUGAACGCUGACAGAAUGCUUAACACAUGCAAGUCAACUGUGGCGGACGGGUGAGUAACGCGUAAAGAACUUGCCUCACAGCUAGGGACAACAUUUGGAAACGAAUGCUAAUACCUGAUACUGUGAGAUAGCUUUGCGUCCCAUUAGCUAGUUGGAGAGGUAACGGCUCACCAAGGCGAUGAUAGGUAGCCGGCCUGAGAGGUUGAUCGGCCACAAGGGGACUGAGACACGGCGCUUACUCCUACGGGAGGCAGCAGUGGGGAAUAUUGGACAAUGGACAAAAGUCUGAUCCAGCAAUUCUGUGUGCAAGAUGAAGUUUUCGGAAUGUAAAGGGCUUUCAGUUGGGAAGCGGUACCAACAGAAGAAGUGACGGCUAAAUACGUGCCAGCAGCCGCGGUAAUUC